rnacentral:lncRNA from 1 species
AUCUUCCAUUUUUUUCCACCCAGAUCCUGUUUUGCCACCAUUUUCUUUCAUCCUAGUCCACUUUUUACCCAUUUUCUGCCAAUUUUCCCUAAGAAUCAUCCAUUUUCUCCAACCCAAAUCCCAUUUUCCCCAUUUUCCCCCAUCCCACCCCUUUUUACAGCCAUUUUCCCCCAGUUUUCCCUCAGAAUCCUCCAUUUUGUCCAUCCCAAUUCUGUUUGCCUGCAUUUUCCCUUAUCCUGAAUCUAUAUUCCCAUAUUUUUUCCCGAUUUACGCCUAAUUUUCUCUCAGAACCCUCCAUUUUCUCCCACCCAAAUCCCCUUUUCUCCCCAUUUUCCAUCAUCCCAGACCUGGUUUUUCCUAUUUCUCCCCAGUUUUCCCUCAGAAUCCUCCAUUUUCUCCCACCCAAAUCCCCUUUUCUCCCCAUUUUCCCUUAUCCCAGACCUGUUUUCCCGCCAUUUCCCCCCACUUUUCCCUCAGAACCCUCCAUUUUCUCCCACCCAAAUCCUGUUUUCCUACCAUUUUCCCCCACUUUUCCCUCAGAAUGCUCCAUUCUCUCCUACUCAAAUCCCCUUUUCUCUCCAUUUGCCCUCAUCCAAGACCUGUUUUCCUACCAUUUUCCCCCAGUUUUCCCUCAGAACCCUUCAUUUUCUCCCGCCCAAAUCGCGUUUUCCCCCCAUUUUCCCCCACUUUUCCCUCAGAACUCUCCAUUUUCUUCUACCCAAAUCCUGUUUUCCCACCAUUUCCCCCCAGUCUUCCCUCAGAAUCCUCUGUUUUCUCCCACCCAAAUCCCCUUUGCUCCCCAUUUUCCCUUAUCCCAGACCUGUUUUUUCCCAUUUCCCCACAGUUUUCCUUCGGAAUCCUCCAUUUUCUCCCACCGAAAUCCCUUUUCCCCCAUUUUCCCCCACUUUUCCCUCAGAAUCCUCCAUUUUCUCCCACCCAAAUCCCCUUUUCUCUCCCAUUUUCUCUCAUCCCAGACCUGUUUUCCCGCCAUUUUCCCGCCAUUUUCCCCCAGAACCCUCCAUUUUCUCUCACCCAAAUCCUGUUUUUCCCCUGUUUUCCCUCAGUUUUUGUUCAGAAUCCUUCAUUUUGUCCGACCUAAAUCCCCUUUCCCCCAGUUUUCCCUCACUUUUCCCUAAGAAUCCUCCAUUUUUUCCACCCAAAUCCCGUUUUCCCACCAUUUUCCCCCACUUUUCCCUCAGAACUCUCCAUUUUCUUUCACCCAAAUACUGUUUUUCCACCAUUUUCCCCCAGUUUCCCCUCAGAACCCUCCAUUUUCUCCCGCCUAAAUCCCUUUUCCCCCAGUUUUCCUUCAGUUUUGCCUCAGAAUCCUCCAUUUUCUCCCACCCAAAUCCCGUUUCCUCCCCAUUUCUCCCCAGUUUUCCCACAGAAUCCUCCAUUUUCUCUCACCCAAAUCCUGUUUACCCGCCAUUUUCCCCCAGUUUUCCCUCAGAAUCCUCCAUUUUCUCCCACCCAAAUCCCCUUUUCUCCCCAUUUUCCCUUAUCCCAGACCUGUUUUCCCGCCAUUUCCCCCCACUUUUCCCUCAGAACUGUCCAUUUUCUCCCACCCAAAUCCCAUUUUCCCGCCAUUUCCCCCCACUUUUCCCUCAGAAUCCUCCGUUUUCUCCCACCCAAAUCCCACUUUCCCGCCAUUUCCCCCUCAUCCCACCCCAUUUCCCCCCCAUUUUUCCCUCUUUUCGCCCCUUUCCACAUCCAGCAGGAGAACAACCAGACGCACCUGGAGACAGAAAGGGCCAAGGAAUUGGGAAGGAGGGACACAGAAAAACUGGAAGCACUGAUUUAAUGAGUCAUUCGUAGUUUCACUGUACCACCCAUGUGUACUUAGACAUGCAUGGCUUAAGCUUUGAGACAAGCAUAUGCUACUGGCAGGAUCAACCAAGUAGCCGCCACCCGAGCGGCACUGCCCGCCACCGCCCGGACAGCGGUGGCCNNNNNNNNNNNNNNNNNNNNNNNNNNN